ensembl:lncRNA
UGGGAAUGUAAAUGGUACAGACACUUCGGAAAACAGUAUGGAGUUUCCUCAAAAGAAUAAAAACAGAACUACCAUGUGACCUAGCCAUGUCACUUCUGGGUAUUUAUCCAAAGGAAUGGAAAUCACUAUCUCACAGAGAUGUCUGCACCCCCAUGUUCAUUGCAGCAUUGUUCACAGUAGCCAAGACACGGAAACAAACUAAACGUCCAUCAACGGAUGAACGGAUAGAGAACAUUUGAUGUAUACACACCAUGGAAUAUUAUUCACCCACAAAAAGAAGGACAUUCUGCCUUUGUGACAACAUAGAUGGACCUUCAGGGCAUUGUACUAAGUGAGGUAAGUCAGACAGAGAAAGACAAACACUGUAUGAUAUCACUUACAUGUGGAAUCUAAAAAAGCCAAAAUCAUGCAAAGGGUAGAUUUGUGGUUUCCAGGGGCUGGGGGGUGCGGGAAAUGAGGAGAUGUUGGUCAAAGGUUACAAACUGCCAGUUAGAAGAGGAAUCACUUCUGAGAUCUACUGUACAGCAUGGUGAUUACAACCGACAAUACUGUAUUGAAUACUUGAAAGUGGAUGAGAGAGUAGAUCUCAAAUGUUCUCCCCAUAACAACAAAUGGUAAUUCUGCGGGGUGAAGGGAGUGCUAACUAACUUCAUUGUGGUGAUCACUUUGCAUGUCUAAAAUCAUCACAUCGUAUACCUUAAGCUUACUCAAUGUUAUGUGUCAAUCACAGGUCAGUCCAGAAGAAAGAUCAAGUCUAUUUUGUCAUAACAUGAGCCUAAGCGCCCCUGCUGCCUUGGGUUACUAUUUGCUUGGAACAUCUUUUUCGAUCCUUUCACUUUUGACCUAUUUGUGUCUUUGGUUCUAAAGUCAGUCUUUCAUUUAUUUAUAAUUGAGGUCAUAUUGGCGUAUAACAUAGUGUAAAUUUCAGGUGCACAUUGUUACACAUCAGUGUCUGUGUAGACGGCAUUAUGUCCACCAAUAGUCUAGCUUUUAUCGGUCACCAUACAUGUGUGCCCCUUUACCCCUCUCGCCCCACCCCCCUUCUCCUCUGGUGACCACUAAUCUGUUCUCUUUAUCUAUGUGUCUCUUUGUUCAUCUUCCACACAUGAGUGAAAUCAUAUGGUGUUUGUCUCUGUCUGGCUUAUUUUGCUUAUCAUAAUAUCCUCAAGGUCCGUCCACGUGGUUGCAAAUGGCAGAAUUUCGUCUUUUUUAUGGCUGAGUACUAUUCCAUUGUAUACAUAUACCGCAUCUUUAUCCCUUCAUCAUUGAAGGCCCUUGGGUCGCUCCUGUCUCUGGUUACUCGGGUCUGCUCAGCUGGCUCUCGGGCUCCUCCACUGGCUCUCCACAGGCUUCGGAGCUGCUGGCCCAGCACCACCUGCACUGCUGCUCCCGGGAUGUCCUGGGGUGCUGGCUGCGCUGCUGCCAGCGGAGCUGGUUCACAGGUGUCACUGUCACUGUCGGCGGAGACGGCGGACUUACAGCCCCUGCUGCUGGUGGAGCUGGUGUGGGGUUGCCGCCACUGGGGGCUGGGUUUCCAGCUGUGCUGAAGUCCCUGUUGCUCCUGGGUGCGGAUGCCGCCUUCCACCGCUGGGGGCGGCACGGGCUGUAUCUCCUGUUCCCACCCCUCCUGCUCCUGUUGGUGUGCAGGUUCAGACCGCUGGGCGUUCCAGGCAGGGCCACAGCCGCAGGGGGCGCGUCGCCGCCCAGCCGCCUCCUCUCCUGGUCGCGCUGGGCGGGGCGCGGUCCCGCAGAAGGGCCGCCGCCAGUGGGCGCCCCCGCGGCUGCCCCGCCCCCCAAGCUCCGCCCGCCGGCCCUGCGCGCGGGUCCGCGCCCCCAGCUGCUGCAGGAGGGCCAGAUCCCCAGCUCCCGCCCGCCUGCCCGCGCGCCGCCCUGGGAGGUGCACCUGUGGGGUCCGUCAGGGUUCCCUGCGCGGUGUCGGACGCCUGCUGCUCCACGGCGGCUUCGUUCCGAAGACUUAACCCCUGAAAGCACUAACGUGUCUCCAACCGAUGCCAGAGCCUGUCACUUACACUCCUUGCCGCUUUCCCCACAGCUGUCUACAGUAUUUGAAUUACUGUCUUCUUCGCAUUUCUGGUUACUAGUCAACAACUGUUUAAUUUCUAUCCAAGGAUGAUUAAAUCCACGUACACUGAAACAAGAAAUAUGCACUCACAAUACUAAAGGAUGACCUGGUCCGUGAUACUUUGGUCACUUCCUCUGCUUAUUGGUUCGAUAAACCUCCUAGGUCUGGUACGCUGCUCGCUCACAUCUACUACUCAACCCUCAACGAUUUAGGUGUGGUUGUUCCUCUCAGGGCAAGAGCGGUCAUUACUGGUUUUAGCCAUAAAUCUAUAGCGUGUGGAUGGUGGGAGAGAGAAGCUGCCUUUUCCUCUGUGGGGCCAACCAUCUGGAGACAUUGGGAUAAGACUUGUCUGCACAAAGAGAGAAUGACAUCAAACUACACCAAACAUUUGGAAAUUUCAGAGGGAGAGACUUGAGGACGUGAUUUGAGUCCUGAGGUCGCCUCCCCCUGAUGUGAGGUGCUGGGAACACAUCAUGCAACUGGCAAGAGGCCAUCUCUGCCCUCAGGAUGUCUUGGAGAAGCCUGGUGGGAGACACAGCUACAUAACCAGGAGACGGCAACACCGGAUGAUGAGGACUUCAGGGGAAGCUAGGAGUCGGAGAGGCAGCUACCUCGUCAGGGGUGUGGGAGGCAGGGGGGGCUUCCUGGAGGAGGUGAUUUGUGGCCUGAAACCUGUUGACUGAGGAAGAUGUGAGUGAGGCAUGAGGGAUGUGGUGGGACCUGGGAUGAGAGAGAGGCCAGCUCAUUCCGGAAACCAGAAAUGCUCCCAUCUCAUUUUAGCCUAGCGAUACAAAAAGGGGGGCAGGUGUUGGAAUUGGAGGAGACGUCUUCAGUCCUCAGCCCUAGGCGAGCCUGCCUCUUCCCCCAACUCCACCUGUGAGCCCUGCUCGAUGCCUGGCAGCUGUUUGGGGCCCUUGUUACUACUUGUCCACAGACAGCUCUCCUGGAACCAGGCCAAGGCUUCCUUGUCCAGCACAGGGCCCACCUCGUCACCACCAGCAGUCGAACAGAGCAGGUGAGGGCAGGAGGGACCUUUAGGGCCCUUCAUCAAGUCAGUACGUGGUGGUGUCCCCGUCCCUGCAGGGUCCGCUCCAAACCCCGGAGCCCACGGCUGGUCUCUCCACACACCCACCACCCCAGCAUGUGGACGCGCCCUGAUCAUGCAUUUUCUCACUCUGCUUUUAUUGACAUCAGCCCUGUGGCAGGAGCUCCCUUCCCCUGUGAUCAGCUGAGAGAACUCCUCUUCAUCCUUUAAGUCCCAGAGGAAACAUUCCCUCCUCUGCGUUUCCCCCAGUGACCAGCGGACGUCUCCCUCACAGGCCUGCAUGUUAGGCUGUGGCUGUGGGUCGAGGGUCUGGGACUGGGUCUGCUGUAUCUCUGUGUCCCCAGGGCCUGGACAGCGCUGGACACACAGUAGGGACUAAGCAUACGCCUCUUGUGUGGAGUCCAAUGGCAGAGGCUCUCCUGUUGCCCAGAGUCCAAACUCUCAAGCCUGGGGUUGAGCCUUCUGUAAUAAAUCUCAGACAUAUGGGUUUUCUGACAGCAA